UAUGCCCUACGGGAGGCAGCAGUAGGGAAUAUUGGACAAUGAGGGGAGCCCUGAUCCAGCGACGCCGCGUGAGUGAAGAAGUAUUUCGGUAUGUAAAGCUCUAUCAGCAGGGAAGAAAGAAAUGACGGUACCUGACUAAGAAGCCCCGGCUAACUACGUGCCAGCAGCCGCGGUAAUACGUAGGGGGCAAGCGUUAUCCGGAUUUACUGGGCGUAAAGGGAGCGUAGACGGCAAUGCAAGUCUGGAGUGAAAGGCGGGGGCCCAACCCCCGGGCUGCCCUGGAAACUGUAUAGCUGGCGGGCAGG
rnacentral:rRNA from 1 species